rnacentral:rRNA from 1 species
UACAGAGGGGGCAAGCGUUACUCGGAAUUAUUGGGCGUAAAGGGCGCGUAGGCGGCGAUUCAAGUGACGGGUGAAAUCCCUCGGCUUAACCGGGGAACUGCGUCUGAUACUGGAUGGCUUGAGUUCGGGAGAGGGAUGCGGAAUUCCAGGUGUAGCGGUGAAAUGCGUAGAUAUCUGGAGGAACACCGGUGGCGAAGGCGGCGUUCUGGACUGUUUCUGACACUGAAAAACGAAAGCCAGGGGAGCAAACGGG